GCCAGCUUAGCUCAGUGGCAGAGCUACUGAUUUGUAAUCAGUGGGUCCCCGGUUCGAGUCCGGGAGCUGGCUCCA
rnacentral:tRNA from 1 species